AUAAGAGCUUUCUGAAGCGCUGUGUUCCGAUGAGCUGUUGUUCUGGGGAGCUGGAGAAGAUCAUCUGUAUCAUGUCCUCAGAAAUAACACUUCCCUGUAAUACGAUGGAAAGACACAAAAGGUAUCCACUGUCCAACAUCCCAUCAUCCUCCAGUGUUCCAUCCUCCUCCACUGUGGCCACAUUUCUGCGCUUGAACAGCUGUUAGAACACAUAAACUGUGCUCAAUAAAAAUACCGACAUGCGUCACA